rnacentral:misc_RNA from 1 species
GAAGGUUUCACGGUCUUUGUCGGACGGCGUCAGGGCGAGAAGCUUGAGCCGCUGAUGAAGGAAAUCCGGGACGCCGGCGGCACGGUGUUUGGCCGCUCGCUCGAUGCGCGCAAGGAGGAGGAAAUGGUUUCGUUCAUUUCCGACGCCGACAAGCAUGCGCCGCUGGAAGUUUGCAUCUUCAACAUCGGUGCCAACGUCAAUUUUCCAAUCGUCGAGACCACCGAACGGGUCUUCCGCAAGGUUUGGGAAAUGGCCUGCUAC